GCAUGGUUGGUUUAGUGGCAUAAUUACCGCCUGCCGACCAUUGUCCGCGGCAGAGCCGGAUUCGAUUUCCGGACCAUGCA